AUGACCAGUACUAGCAGCUACUCCGGUGGGCGUGCACGAGCAAGGACCAUGCCGCUGGCAAUGGCAAUGGCCCUGCUAUGCUUGGCGAUCAUAUCCGGUGGGUGCGAGGGGUGCACCAACGACGAGAGGGGGGCGCUUCUGGACAUCCUCCGGGAGCUCUUCUAUAACGACGACUUAUCGCCGGGCUGGAAUACUAGCACCACUACAGAUUGCUGCCUGUGGGGGAGGGUGACCUGCAACUCCCCCGCAGGCCGUGUCACAGGCCUCGACCUGAGUAGGUCUGAACCUGUUGCCUCCAGCUCUAGGCUACUCAACACUACUAUGUUCCUUCCCUUACAGGAGCUGCAGGAGUUGCACCUCAGUCGCCUCAAAAUACAAGGAUGCAAACCCGGUGCAGGCUUUGAAGUAUGGUCAAAAUUAGAAAAACUAAAAAUUCUUGAUUUAUCAUAUAAUGAUAAAUUAAUGGAGAGUGCCAUCCCAUCCUUGGUCGCAAUUGUAUCGCUACGGUCCCUAUUCCUCAACGGGAAUGACUUCAGCUCCAAUCUGACAAUACAACAACUCAGCAUAAUGAAAUUGGAUACUCUUGAUAUAGGCAAUAAUGAUAUCCAAGGCACCAUACCAACAGAUAUUUGCAACAUGAGAGAUCUUCAAGUGUUAUAUCUCAGUGACAAUCUUUUAUUUGGAGAGAUCCCAUCAUGCAUGCAAAAUCUGACUUCUCUCAGAAUUCUCGGUCUGUCAGAAAAUAAUAGAUUAAUAGUAAAGUUCCCCUCUCUUCUCUUUGCAAAACUCACAUCGUUGGAGAAACUUUCACUCGUAAAUAACUCUCUUGAAGGAGUUCUGUCGCUGAGUUCCUUACAAAAUCAUAGACAAUUGACUAAACUGGAACUUGCAAGCAGCGGUAACAACUUUCAUGUGCAAACUGAGAAUCCAGCAACAGAUUUGCCAGCUCAGAUUCAGGUUCUAGUGCUGCGAAAUUGCAACCUUAAUGGCAAUUCAGGCAUCGUACCAAGUUUCUUGUUGCAUCAACAUAAACUAGAGUCGGUCGAUAUGUCUAACAACAACCUAAGUGGUAACUUCCCUUCAUGGUUGAUAGAAAAUAAUGUCAACCUAUCACACUUAGUUCUGGGUAGUAACUCCUUUGCAGGUCCUCUUCUUCCAUCCAAAGUACACACCAGUUUGCAAUGGUUGGAUGCAUCUUCUAACAGGCUAAGCAUAUUACCUGUUGACAUUAACAUCACAUUACCAAAUCUGAGUUACAUAUCCUUAUCAGGGAAUUCUUAUAUGGGCAACUUUCCUUCUUCCUUUAGCUACAUGAAUAGUCUACAGUAUUUAGACUUGUCAUACAACAAUUUCUUAGAUGACAUUGCGGCUGCUUUUGUUGGAAAUAUGUCAAAUAUCAUUGGUCUAAAACUGUCUGGAAACCAUUUCUAUGGGUCGUUCUCUCCAAACAUACUAUUACCUGCCGUUAAACAUCUAUUGCUCAGUGAUAAUGAAAUCGCUGGGAAAAUUCCUGAGAAGUUAUGUGACAGUCUGAUACUUAUGACAUUUGAUGCUAGCAAUAACAAGUUGACCGGCCCGCUCCCUACUUGCAUAUCCGCACUCUCAGAACUUGCCAUUUUGAAUUUAAGAGGGAACUCAUUGGCUGGAUCGAUUCCGUCGGAAGUAUGCGGCCUGCGAAAGCUUGUGUUUCUUGAUGUGUCGGAAAAUAACCUUUCUGGUCCAGUGCAUUGCUUACCGGAUCUAUGCUACCUUCAUAUGAGUAGAAACCGAUUAAAUGGAACCUUUCCUAUUCCAUUGUACUCGAGAAAUAAUAUCUAUACAAUGGAUCUCCAAGAAAACCAAUUCAGUGGUGUCCUUCCAAAGCUGAUAGGGAAGUCCUUUCCAAAGCUAAAAGUACUGUUAUUAAAAGAUAAUAUGUUCGAAGGGACAGUUCCAAAUGAUAUAUGCAGUUUGAAGUAUCUGCGUCUACUAGAUUUGUCUCAUAAUAGACUAUCGGGGGAGUUACCUUUAUGCAUGAACAUUAUGGGAUCCGAUGACAGUUUAUUUGAUUUCCAACCUGGUUUUGGAACUUUUCCUGUUUUAUUCAAUGUUAUUGGGCUGCCAGAUCAAGAGGAAUUCAUGACCAAGGGCAGGCAGGACAAUUACAGGGGAAACAUACUCAACUACAUGACUGGACUUGAUUUCUCUUCGAACCAGUUGAAAGGAUCCAUUCAUGAAAAUAUAGGUGGCAUGAAAUGGUUAAGGGCAUUGAAUUUCUCGGAAAAUAACUUUGAUGGAUCAAUACCACAGUCCUUGUCAAAUUUAAGUUAUCUGGAGAGCUUGGAUCUCUCGCACAACAAGUUGGCAGGCCAAAUACCUUCAGAGCUAGCAGCAUUACCGUCCCUUGCGGUGUUCUCAGUGGCAUACAACAACCUGUCUGGUCCGACGCCAGGAAUAAAGGGGCAGUUCAUCACAUUUGAUCAGAGCAGCUACGAAGGAAAUCCAUAUCUCUGUGGCCCACCAUUGUUGAGUUGCUCUGAGGCGCCGUCAGUUCCCGAGCUUGAAGAAAAUAAGGAAGAUGAUAAAGUUGAUGAUAUAAUCCUGUUUGGCUGUUCAGCAAUGUUUUACAUGGUUGGUUUCUGGACUUCCUUGGGUGUGCUUUACUUCAAGACAAGCUGGCGAUGGUCAUGGUUUUCUGCCGUGGACAAGUUCAGCGAUUUUGCAAUGCUUAAGUUGGCUAUAUACACAAGAAAUAUACGUAUCACCAAUUGA
rnacentral:rRNA from 1 species